CGACGAUGCAGUCGACGGUGAAGAGAGCUUGCUCUCUGGAUCAGUGGCGAACGGGUGAGUAACACGUGAGCAAUCUGCCCCUGACUCUGGGAUAAGCGCUGGAAACGGCGUCUAAUACCGGAUACGAGCUGCGAAGGCAUCUUCAGCAGCUGGAAAGAACUUCGGUCAGGGAUGAGCUCGCGGCCUAUCAGCUAGUUGGUGAGGUAAUGGCUCACCAAGGCGUCGACGGGUAGCCGGCCUGAGAGGGUGACCGGCCACACUGGGACUGAGACACGGCCCAGACUCCUACGGGAGGCAGCAGUGGGGAAUAUUGCACAAUGGGCGCAAGCCUGAUGCAGCAACGCCGCGUGAGGGACGACGGCCUUCGGGUUGUAAACCUCUUUUAGCAGGGAAGAAGCGAAAGUGACGGUACCUGCAGAAAAAGCACCGGCUAACUACGUGCCAGCAGCCGCGGUAAUACGUAGGGUGCAAGCGUUAUCCGGAAUUAUUGGGCGUAAAGAGCUCGUAGGCGGUUUGUCGCGUCUGCUGUGAAAACUGGGGGCUCAACCCCCAGCCUGCAGUGGGUACGGGCAGACUAGAGUGCGGUAGGGGAGAUUGGAAUUCCUGGUGUAGCGGUGGAAUGCGCAGAUAUCAGGAGGAACACCGAUGGCGAAGGCAGAUCUCUGGGCCGUAACUGACGCUGAGGAGCGAAAGGGUGGGGAGCAAACAGGCUUAGAUACCCUGGUAGUCCACCCCGUAAACGUUGGGAACUAGUUGUGGGGUCCAUUCCACGGAUUCCGUGACGCAGCUAACGCAUUAAGUUCCCCGCCUGGGGAGUACGGCCGCAAGGCUAAAACUCAAAGGAAUUGACGGGGACCCGCACAAAGCGGCGGAGCAUGCGGAUUAAUUCGAUGCAACGCGAAGACCUUACCAAGGCUUGACAUAUACGAGAACGGGCCAGAAAUGGUCAACUCUUUGGACACUCGUAAACAGGUGGUGCAUGGGUGGUCGUCAGCUCGUGUCGUGGAGAUGUUGGGGUUAAGGUCCCGGCACGAGCGCAACCCUCGUUCUAUGUUGCCAGCACGUUAAUGGUGGGGAACUCAUGGGGAUACUGCCGGGGUCAA
rnacentral:rRNA from 1 species